AUACUUGUUUCUGUAGUACAUACACUAAAACUGGAACAAUACAGAGAGGAUUAGCAUGGCCCCAGAGCAAGGAUGACAUGCAGAUUCAUGAAGCAUUCCAUAUUUUU